rnacentral:rRNA from 1 species
CAAUAGCGUAUAUUAAAGUUGUUGCAGUUAAAAAGCUCGUAGUUGAACUUCAGACCUGGCCGGGCGGUCCGCCGCAAGGUGUGUACUGUCUGGCUGGGCCUUACCUCUUGGUGAGCCGGCAUGCCCUUUACUGGGUGUGUCGGGGAACCAGGACUUUUACCUUGAGAAAAUUAGAGUGUUCAAAGCAGGCCUAUGCCUGAAUACGUUAGCAUGGAAUAAUAAAAUAGGACGUGCGGUUCUAUUUUGUUGGUUUCUAGAGUCGCCGUAAUGAUUAAUAGGGAUAGUUGGGGGCAUUCGUAUUCCGUUGCUAGAGGUGAAAUUCUUGGAUUUACGGAAGACGAACUUCUGCGAAAGCAUUUGCCAAGGAUGUUUUCAUUA